AGGCCGCGUCAGGCAGCCGCCCGCUCCGAAAGGAUGCGGGAGGAAAGUCCGGACACACACGUCGAAAGACGUAGCACGGUAGCGGGUAACGCCCGCCGUACGAAAGUAUAGGGAUGCGAACAGUGACGCCAAUGCCGAGAGGCUAGGCACCCUGAAAGGGGUGAAUCUCGCGGCAACGCGAGGAUGCAACGGCAAAACUUCCUACCUGUGUGCAAGGCCGUGCCUGUGGGAUACACCAAUUGGAUAUCUCACACGGAGAGCCGCUUGAGGUAAUUGGCAACAAUUAUCCCAGAUACAUGGCUGCACUCGACAGAAUCCGGCUUAUCAACGCGGCAAAACA
rnacentral:RNase_P_RNA from 2 species